CCUCUGCUCAACCGCUGCCACACGUAUGCCAUCGUCACACCCUCUACCACCGUCUCCCUCUGCUGGGUAGAUGAGGAAGCCGAUGUCAGCAUCACCAACGCCAUGUUCCACGACUUCAGGGUCGCUGGAUCUGGGAUAUCCACCCUCUGAAGCCGCUGCCCAAGCCCCAAACCGCUAUUCACACCCUGAACAAAUACCGCGUUCGAUGUGUCGAUCGCGUAGGAAACUGCCAGCAUUCACCGCUUUGUUUCCUCCUAGGAGCAGUUCAUGGCAAUUGAGCCGUGAGUUCACGGCCACGGCCGCCGCCGCCGCCAGGGCAGCCACAUCAACUGACCGCAGCAACACCAACAAUCAAGUGGACAUAAUGGGUGGGAUACGGAGCGGAUAAGGCCUCCGGCUGUCUCUAGAAGAUUGAGGGAAGAGCCCAGGAGGUAGCUUUCCCGCACAACACUCCAUCUCUCACGAUGUCAGUGAUUCAAUUAGGAUGUGGCACUUUAUUGUGUCUCUAUUGGAGGAAAGGGACACGGAGAAUUGGAAUUACAAAGUUUACACCAGAAACAUAGAGAUAUAAGAACUCAUCUCCAAGCUAUAGUUUAGGAGAGGCGAGCCUACACCUACAGAUGCCAUAUCAUUUUGUUCACCUACAGAUAGGUUGAUGAUUUGAUUUUCUUAAUUAUCAUCCAAUGUUACCUCAUAAAUCCUUUUGAGCAAGGUAUUGUUCGUGUACAUAUUAAUUGCUCAAGCAUUUUCGCCGUCUCUAUUCAAGUUUACUAUUGCGUGAAAAGUUAGAUGCUUAUAUGUCUGGUGACAUCAAAACAUUUGAUUGUUCAACGUCAAAGAAAGCAACCAAAUAUUUCAUUUGUGAUGUACUGAUAGCAUUUCUUGGUAUUUCUUGUUACACAAACACACCUGCAGAUCACCAACCGUGUUUUUUUAGGUUGUGAAUGCGUCCAAAUUGGUAUUGAACAGAUCAGGCUGUUGCUGCCCCAUGAAUGACUGUUAUGUGAUUCUUUCUAGCAAUAUACAAAGCCUUAUGAUCAUGAUGCUGCUGCCCCAUGACUGAAUGUGUUUCUGAAAGAGGAUGUCACACAGAGUAUAAUACUGGAAGGAGGAGUGAGCAACAGCCAGAUCAGAGAAGUUAAGAACAAGACACAUGCUUCAGAUUAACUCCUAUUUCUUAACCAGUAUGCUUUUGAUGAUUGAAGUACAUUAAAAAAGUAUAUAUUUCUUCAUAUUGACGGAUUCUAAUGGUAUGAUUUCAGCAUGCAAAUAAUUCUUCUAUAUGUCUGACUAUAAUGUGCUGCCGUGCAAAUAUGCAGAAGGAUGAUCUCACUUUUGGGGACAUGGUUUUGUGAAUCGAUGUGUUAUCUUGACCAAAUAUCUUAGUAUUUGUACAACGUUGCAAUAUGGAUAGCCUUGUCGCCACUUUUACUGGAUUGAUAUAUAAUACUGUAUGUACAAUGAUUCGGUACAUAUAUACCUGUAGCAACUACUAAUCGAAAUUUCUUCUUCCACCUACAAAAAUAUAUAGAAUCUUCCUGCAUAAUUUCAUGUUGAUACCUGAUUUCCAUGUCCAUACUGUUGGGGCGAGCUAAAACUGCAAGGCCUCAUAGUGCAUAGAGGCACCUAAUAAAGUUUUCAGGUUUGUCCCAAGAACUAUUAUAUCCAGACAAGAUAUUUGCUUGCAGAACCACCAGAGCUCUGAACCUUCUAGGUAAUUUCACAUGGUGUGCAGGUUGAGCUGUCCAACAAGUGCAAUAUAAUCAGCGGCAGGGCACCCACGAUAUCCCUGAUUUGCAUUUAAGUGAUAUAAGAAUCAGGAGAAGGGGGAAAAGAGAGGCGGAAGCAUAAUCUUGGGAGUAAUGGAGAUGCUGACAGAGUUAGAGCUGGAUGGAGCAUCAAACAAUGGAAUCGAGUCAUGCAUGGAAUUGUAAGCCGAUCAUAUAGGCAUAGACCUGAAUUCAUUUUUCCGAUGUAUAAUUCAAAUACUAAUAUAAAGAGUUCGUUAUUGCUGUUUGUUGUGAACCAUGUGAACAUAUUGCUGUAACAAAAAAAAUCUGUGUGAACAUAUUUGAAUGGUCUCAUCUUCAAAUAAGAUCUCUAUAGUAGCAGGAUUCCUUAAUAUUUAAAUCUGGAAAGUGAAGACUUAUAUUUAUAAAUUAUAAAACUGUACUUGGUCGGAUAAAAUUGUGCAUACAAAAACUACAAGUUUCCUGUGCUUGAAAUAUUUUUUCCACUAUUUGCUUUGAUCGAUAUGUGGCUUGCAUGCAAAUGAUAAUUGGAAUUUUGUUUUCUUUGCAUUUCUGGGGUGUGGAAACAAUUUUGAAUAAAGGAUAUAUGUUAUUUAGUGAUGUUCUUGUUUAGAUUUAUUACCAGCGUAAAAACUAAUUAAGGAUCAGUUUUAGAUACGUGCAUUUGCACGUACACGAUUACUAGUUACGACUGAUUCGGCAACUGUCGAGGAGCUACUGGCUGUGGCGGCGGAACUGGGGCCCCUAGUGGUAGCCAAGUGAUCGUUUAUGUAUGCUACGAUACAGAUAGCAUUCCCUGCCAUGGCGAGGGUAUGGUUCAUAGAUCUCAAGGGUUCAAGGAGAAUUACAGGGAGGAUUACAGAGAGAGGGAGAGACUUGGGGAAGAAGAAGCUCAGAGAGAAGAUCUGGAUUUGCUACAACUCAUUCGUACCCCACACACCUACACACGCAACGCUAUAUAACUGAGUCGCUGGGCCGGUCCCUCGGCCCACGGA